AUACUUACCUGGCAGGGGAGACACCAUGAUCAAGAAGGCGGUUCACCCAGGCGAGGCUUGUCCAUUGCACUCCGGCCAUGCUGACCCUGCGAAUUCCCCAAAUGCGGGAAUCUCGACUGCAUAAUUUUAUGGUAGUGGGGGACUGCGUUCGCCGCUCUCCCUGA
rnacentral:snRNA from 1 species